rnacentral:rRNA from 1 species
GGAUCAUUACUGAGUGUAAAAACUCCAAACCUUUGUGAACAUACCAAUGUUGCUUCGGCGGCCUCGUCCCGCGGCGCUUCGGCGACCCGGACCCAGGCGACCGCCGGAGGCUCCAAACUCUUGUCUUUACAGUGUAUUUCUGAGUGGCAUAAGCAAAUAAAUCAAAACUUUCAGCAACGGAUCUCUUGGUUCUGGCAUCGAUGAAGAACGCAGCAAAAUGCGAUAAGUAAUGUGAAUUGCAGAAUUCAGUGAAUCAUCGAAUCUUUGAACGCACAUUGCGCCCGCCAGUAUUCUGGCGGGCAUGCCUGUCUGAGCGUCAUUUCAACCCUCAGGGCCCGUCCGCGGGACCUGGCGUUGGGGAUCAGCCCUCCGGGGCUGGCCCUUAAAACCAGUGGCGGUUCCACAGCGACCUCCUCCGUGCAGUAGUGAUACCUCGCGGCUGGAAAGCAGUGCGGACCGAGCCGUAAAACCCCCCACUUCUCAAGGUUGACCUC